ACAUUGUGGAGCCGAUGAAAUUGUGCAUUGAGGAGCACAUUGCUGCUGGCAAACUGGAGCAAAUUGCUGGCAGGUAUUCUGGCACUGUUGGCACUGCGGAGCCGAUGCCUGUUGGCAUUGAGGGGCACAUUGUUGCUGACAUUGUGGAAC
ensembl:ncRNA Y5H2A.5 ncRNA